rnacentral:rRNA from 1 species
AAAUUGAAGAGUUUGAUCAUGGCUCAGAUUGAACGCUGGCGGCAGGCCUAACACAUGCAAGUCGAACGGUAACAGGAAGCAGCUUGCUGCUUUGCUGACGAGUGGCGGACGGGUGAGUAAUGUCUGGGAAACUGCCUGAUGGAGGGGGAUAACUACUGGAAACGGUGGCUAAUACCGCAUAACGUCGCAAGACCAAAGAGGGGGACCUUCGGGCCUCUUGCCAUCAGAUGUGCCCAGAUGGGAUUAGCUUGUUGGUGAGGUAACGGCUCACCAAGGCGACGAUCCCUAGCUGGUCUGAGAGGAUGACCAGCCACACUGGAACUGAGACACGGUCCAGACUCCUACGGGAGGCAGCAGUGGGGAAUAUUGCACAAUGGGCGCAAGCCUGAUGCAGCCAUGCCGCGUGUAUGAAGAAGGCCUUCGGGUUGUAAAGUACUUUCAGCGGGGAGGAAGGGAGUAAGGUUAAUAACCUUAUUCAUUGACGUUACCCGCAG